rnacentral:sRNA from 1 species
GAUUUGCAUGAGGGAUCGCAACGGCAUCUCCCGAUUUAGAAAAACAAGGCUUUUGCCGUAGUUUUUGUUAAUCGGGAAUAUAGUGGAGAGCCCGACCUCGU